rnacentral:rRNA from 1 species
CUAGUGGCGCACGGGUGCGUAACGCGUGGGAAUCUGCCCUUGGGUUCGGAAUAACUUCGGGAAACUGAAGCUAAUACCGGAUGAUGACGAAAGUCCAAAGAUUUAUCGCCCAGGGAUGAGCCCGCGUAGGAUUAGCUAGUUGGUGGGGUAAAGGCUCACCAAGGCAACGAUCCUUAGCUGGUCUGAGAGGAUGAUCAGCCACACUGGGACUGAGACACGGCCCAGACUCCUACGGGAGGCAGCAGUAGGGAAUAUUGGACAAUGGGCGAAAGCCUGAUCCAGCAAUGCCGCGUGAGUGAUGAAGGCCUUAGGGUUGUAAAGCUCUUUUACCCGAGAUGAUAAUGACAGUAUCGGGAGAAUAAGCUCCGGCUAACUCCGUGCCAGCAGCCGCGGUAAUACGGAGGGAGCUAGCGUUGUUCGGAAUUACUGGGCGUAAAGCGCACGUAGGCGGCGAUUUAAGUCAGAGGUGAAAGCCCGGGGCUCAACCCCGGAACUGCCUUUGAGACUGGAUUGCUAGAAUCUUGGAGAGGCGAGUGGAAUUCCGAGUGUAGAGGUGAAAUUCGUAGAUAU